CCUACGGGUGGCUGCAGUGAGGAAUAUUGGUCAAUGGACGAGAGUCUGAACCAGCCAAGUAGCGUGAAGGAUGACUGCCCUAUGGGUUGUAAACUUCUUUUAUAUGGGAAUAAAAUGUUCCACGUGUGGGAUUUUGUAUGUACCAUAUGAAUAAGGAUCGGCUAACUCCGUGCCAGCAGCCGCGGUAAUACGGAGGAUCCGAGCGUUAUCCGGAUUUAUUGGGUUUAAAGGGAGCGUAGGUGGAUUGUUAAGUCAGUUGUGAAAGUUUGUGGCUCAACCGUAAAAUUGCAGUUGAAACUGGCAGUCUUGAGUACAGUAGAGGUGGGCGGAAUUCGUGGUGUAGCGGUGAAAUGCUUAGAUAUCAGGAAGAACUCCGAUUGCGAAGGCAGUUCACUGGACUGCAACUGACACUGAGGCUCGAAAGUGUGGGUAUCAAACAGGAUUAGAUACCCGAGUAGUC
rnacentral:rRNA from 1 species